GGAGUUAGCCGGUGCUUCUUCUGUGAGUGAUGUCCUUCCUGCCGGCUAUUAACCCGCAGGCCUUCUUCCUCACUGAAAGUGCUUUACAACCCGAAGGCCUUCUUCACACACGCGGCAUGGCUGGAUCAGGGUUGCCCCCAUUGUCCAAUAUUCCCCACUGCUGCCUCCCGUAGGAGUCUGGGCCGUGUCUCAGUCCCAGUGUGGCUGAUCAUCCUCUCAGACCAGCUACGGAUCGUCGCCUUGGUGAGCCGUUACCUCACCAACCAGCUAAUACCGACAUAGGCUCAUCCGAUAGCGCGAGGCCCGAAGGUCCCCCGCUUUCCCCCGUAGGGCGUAUGCGGUAUUAGCCUGGGUUUCCCCAGGUUAUCCCCCACUACCGGGCAGAUUCCUAUGCAUUACUCACCCGUCCGCCGCUCGCCACCAGGGAGCAAGCUCCCCGUGCUGCCGCUCGACUUGCAUGUGUUAGGCCUGCCGCCAGCGUUCAAUCUGACCAAGAUCAAAUUCUGA
rnacentral:rRNA from 1 species